CCUACGGGAGGCUGCAGUAGGGAAUCUUCCACAAUGGGCGAAAGCCUGAUGGAGCAACGCCGCGUGGGUGAAGAAGGUCUUCGGAUCGUAAAACCCUGUUGUUAGAGAAGAAAGUGCGUGAGAGUAACUGUUCACGUUUCGACGGUAUCUAACCAGAAAGCCACGGCUAACUACGUGCCAGCAGCCGCGGUAAUACGUAGGUGGCAAGCGUUAUCCGGAUUUAUUGGGCGUAAAGGGAACGCAGGCGGUCUUUUAAGUCUGAUGUGAAAGCCUUCGGCUUAACCGGAGUAGUGCAUUGGAAACGGGGAGACUUGAGUGCAGAAGAGGAGAGGGGAACUCCAUGUGUAGGGGUGAAAGGCGGAGAUAUAUGGAAGAACACCAGUGGCGAAAGCGGCUCUCUGGUCUGUAACUGACGCUGAGGUUCGAAAGCGUGGGUAGCAAACAGGAUUAGAUACCCCAGUAGUC
rnacentral:rRNA from 1 species